rnacentral:rRNA from 1 species
CCCUACGGGGGGCAGCAGUGAGGAAUAUUGGUCAAUGGGCGCGAGCCUGAACCAGCUAAGUAGCGUGAAGGAUGCCUGCCCUCCGGGUUGUCCCCUUCUUUUCUCCCGGCCUACCGUGAGGCACGUGUGCCUUUUUGUAUGUACUUUAUGAAUAAGGAUCGGCUAACUCCGUGCCAGCAGCCGCGGUAAUACGGAGGAUCCGAGCGUUAUCCGGAUUUAUUGGGUUUAAAGGGAGCGUAGAUGGGUUGUUAAGUCAGUUGUGAAAGUUUGCGGCUCACCCGUAAAAUUGCAAUUGAUACUAGCAG